AACGAACGCUGGCGGCAUGCCUAACACAUGCAAGUCGAACGAGACCUUCGGGUCUAGUGGCGCACGGGUGCGUAACGCGUGGGAACCUGCCCUUAGGUUCGGAAUAACUCCCCGAAAGGGGUGCUAAUACCGGAUAAUGUCUUCGGACCAAAGAUUUAUCGCCUUUGGAUGGGCCCGCGUUGGAUUAGCUAGUUGGUAGGGUAAAAGCCUACCAAGGCGACGAUCCAUAGCUGGUCUGAGAGGAUGAUCAGCCACACUGGGACUGAGACACGGCCCAGACUCCUACGGGAGGCAGCAGUGGGGAAUAUUGGACAAUGGGCGAAAGCCUGAUCCGGCAAUGCCGCGUGAGUGGUGAAGGCCUUAGGGUUGUAAAGCUCUUUUACCCGGGAUGAUAAUGACAGUACCGGGAGAAUAAGCUCCGGCUAACUCCGUG
rnacentral:rRNA from 1 species